CCCCACCUCCCCAGACCGGAGCCAGACCUUUGUAAUCCCCAGCUUCCCGCUGAUCAUCUUCGGGGAAGAGCUGGGAGCUGGGAGCGUUGCAAUGAGAGCAGGCAGCAUUCAUGUCCUCAGGGAGAGUGGAGCUUUAUCAGGCAGAAAAAUGAUUGAAUUCUUUUGUGUGUGUCUUUUAAAACGGGGCAAAAUCACCUCCAAAUGAUGAUAGCUUUUAGGAUUUUUGAAAGAGGAAAUUGAAUAUGUGCUUUUCUAAGUUCCGAGGUAUUGAUUGAGGACUAAUGGAGGGAAAUGGAUAAUUGGCUAAUUGAUCGGGUAAUUUAUAUUCUCCAACAAUCACCAGGUCGAGGGUGUCCCCCGCUGGCUAUGGCCUGGCCCCUUGUGAGAUCUGCCGAGCUGUUGAAGGCUGGAGACCCCAUCCUGCAUGCCAGGCUGUGUCAGGGAUCGCCAAGGCAACUCUCAGGAUUUUCAACAGCUCUAGGCCCUGGGCCCUGUGUCCAUCGGGAUGGAAGAGCCAAGUGGGAGGCUCGUGCCCUCAGACAGGAACCUGCGAUGGAGUGGUACCCAGGCCGAGUUUGCGAGUUGGCGCUUCAGGAUGGCUACACACAACCCCCGUGGGCACCUCCCACAGCUGCAGGGCUAAUGGCAGGGCCUUUUUUAUGCUACGUUCGCAUAUAA
rnacentral:lncRNA from 1 species